rnacentral:rRNA from 1 species
CCUACGGUGUGCUGCAGUGGGGAAUAUUGCACAAUGGGGGAAACCCUGAUGCAGCGACGCCGCGUGAGAGAUGAAGUAUUUAGGUGUGUAAAGCUCUAUCAGCAGGGAAGAAAAUGACGGUACCUGACUAAGAAGCCCCGGCUAACUACGUGCCAGCAGCCGCGGUAAUACGUAGGGUGCAAGCGUUAUCCGGAUUUACUGGGGGUAAAGGGAGCGUAGACGGCGGUGCAGGCCAGAUGUGAAAGCCCGGGGCUCAACCCCGGGACGGCAUUUGGAACUGUGCUGCUAGAGUGUCGGAGAGGCAGGCGGAAUUCCUAGUGUAGCGGUGAAAUGCGUAGAUAUUAGGAGGAACACCAGUGGCGAAGGCGGCCUGCUGGACGAUGACUGACGUUGAGGCUCGAAAGCGUGGGGAGCAAACAGGAUUAGAUACCCCGGUAGUC